rnacentral:rRNA from 1 species
ACGGAGUUUAGUAGCAAUACUGAAUUCAGUGGCGGACGGGUGCGUAACACGUGAACAAUCUGCCCGGAAGAGGGGGAUAGCCCAGGGAAACUUGGAUUAAUACCCCGUACGGUAUAGGUGGGCAUCCACUUAACACCAAAGGUGCUGAAAGGUGCCGCUUCCGGAUGAGUUCGCGUCCUAUCAGCUUGUUGGCGGGGUAACGGCCCACCAAGGCAAUGACGGGUAGCUGGUCUGAGAGGAUGACCAGCCACACUGGAGCUGAGACACGGUCCAGACACCUACGGGUGGCAGCAGUCGAG